GAUGAACGCUGGCGGCGUGCCUAAUACAUGCAAGUCGAGCGAACAGACGAGGAGCUUGCUCCUCUGACGUUAGCGGCGGACGGGUGAGUAACACGUGUAUAACCUACCUAUAAGACUGGGAUAACUUCGGGAAACCGGAGCUAAUACCGGAUAAUAUAUUGAACCGCAUGGUUCAAUAGUGAAAGACGGUUUUGCUGUCACUUAUAGAUGGAUCCGCGCCGCAUUAGCUAGUUGGUAAGGUAACGGGUUACCAAGGCAAGGAUGCGUAGCCGACGUGAGAGGGUGGUCGGCCACACGGGAGCGUAGACACGGUCCAGGGUCCUACGGGAGGCAGCAGUAGGGAAUCUUCGGCAAUGGGCGAAAGCAUGACGGAGCAACGCCGCGUGAGUGAUGAAGGUCUUCGGAUCGUAAAACUCUGUUAUUAGGGAAGAACAAAUGUGUAAGUAACUAUGCACGUCUUGACGGUACCUAAUCAGAAAGCCACGGCUAACUACGUG
rnacentral:rRNA from 1 species